GGCUUAGAGUUUGAUCAUGGCUCAGGACGAACGCUGGCGGCGCGCCUAACACAUGCAAGUCGAACGGAAUGCGGGGAGGAUUUAUCUUUUCUGUGUUCAGUGGCGAACGGGUGAGUAACGCGUGAGGAACCUGCCUCAAAGAGGGGGACAACAGUUGGAAACGACUGCUAAUACCGCAUAAGCCCACGGGGCCGCAUGGCCCAGAGGGAAAAGGAGCAAUCCGCUUUGAGAUGGCCUCGCGUCCGAUUAGCUGGUUGGUGAGGUAACGGCCCACCAAGGCGACGAUCGGUAGCCGGACUGAGAGGUUGAACGGCCACAUUGGGACUGAGACACGGCCCAGACUCCUACGGGAGGCAGCAGUGGGGAAUAUUGCACAAUGGGGGAAACCCUGAUGCAGCGACGCCGCGUGGAGGAAGAAGGUCUUCGGAUUGUAAACUCCUGUUGUUGGGGAAAAGAAGGAUGGUACCCAACAAGGAAGUGACGGCUAACUACGUGCCAGCAGCCGCGGUAAAACGUAGGUCACGAGCGUUGUCCGGAAUUACUGGGUGUAAAGGGAGCGCAGGCGGGUAUGCAAGUUGGGAGUGAAAUACAUGGGCUCAACCCAUGAACUGCUCUCAAAACUGUGUAUCUUGAGUAGUGCAGAGGUAGGCG
rnacentral:rRNA from 2 species